UACAGAGGGUGCGAGCGUUGUCCGGAAUCACUGGGCGUAAAGGGCGCGUAGGUGGCCCGACAAGUCAAUGGUGAAAGCUCGACGCUUAACGUCGAGUCGGCCACUGAUACUGUUGGGCUGGAGCACUGUAGAGGCUCAUGGAAUUCCGGGUGUAGCGGUGGAAUGCGUAGAGAUCCGGAAGGACACCGGUGGCGAAGGCGGUGAAGCUGGGCGAGUUGCUGGACACUGAGGCGCG
rnacentral:rRNA from 1 species